rnacentral:sRNA from 1 species
GCUGCGGGCAGCCGAGGCGGCCGAGGCGGCGGCGGCGGCGGCGGCGGCCGGCAGCGGGAAACUGGAGGAGCGGCUCUACUCGGUGCUGUGCUGCACCGUGUGCCUGGACCUGCCCAAGGCCUCCGUGUACCAGUGUACUAAUGGUCACUUGAUGUGCGCUGGCUGUUUUAUCCACCUACUAGCAGAUGCCCGGCUGAAGGAGGAGCAGGCCACGUGCCCCAAUUGUCGUUGUGAGAUCAGUAAGAGCCUCUGCUGCCGGAACCUGGCCGUGGAGAAAGCCGUGAGCGAGCUGCCUUCAGAGUGUGGCUUCUGCCUGCGCCAGUUUCCCCGCUCCCUCCUGGAGAGGCACCAGAAAGAGGAAUGCCAGGACAGGGUAACCCAGUGCAAGUACAAACGCAUCGGCUGCCCAUGGCACGGCCCCUUCCAUGAGCUGACGGUGCACGAGGCUGCGUGCGCCCACCCGACCAAGACAGGCAGUGAGCUGAUGGAGAUCCUGGAUGGGAUGGACCAGAGCCACCGCAAGGAGAUGCAGCUGUACAACAGCAUCUUCAGCCUGCUCAGCUUUGAGAAGAUUGGCUACACAGGUGAGGCGCCCCGCCGCCUGCUGCAUGCCACACAGGUGUGGGUUGGGGGGCUGGCAGCCAGGAGUCUGGGGGCAGCAGGCUCUGGGCACUGGGCACUGACGGCGCCGGACAGCCGGGCUCUGGACAAGCUCCCGGUGGACAGGUGGACACCUCGGUCGAGAAGACAGGCCGGAGACUGAGUGGAAGGAGGGGCCGAGGCAGACCCCAGGUGCACACCUGUGUGGCUCUCACAGCAGCCCCGCCCACCUGUCCUCCCCACCCUGGCUUCACCACCCCCGCAAGGUGGCAUCUCACUGUGGGGCUCCAGAGCCUCAAGACAGUCA